rnacentral:rRNA from 1 species
ACGAACGCUGGCGGCGUGCUUAACACAUGCAAGGCGUACGGUAAGGCCCUUUCGGGGGUACACGAGUGGCGAACGGGUGAGUAACACGUGAGUAACCUGCCCACAACUUUUGGAUAACGCUAGGAAACUGGUGCUAAUACUGGAUAUGUGCUCCUGCUGCAUGGUGGGGGUUGGAAAGCUCCGGCGGUUGUUGAUGGACUCGCGGCCUAUCAGCUUGGUGGUGGGGUAGUGGCCUACCAAGGCGGGGACGGGUAGGCGGCCUUAGAGGGUGACCGGCCACAUUGGGACUGAGAUACGGCCCAGACUCCUACGGGAGGCAGCAGUGGGGAAUCUUGCACAAUGGGCGCCAGCCUGAUGCAGCAACGCCGCGUGCGGGAUGACGGCCUUCGGGUUGUAAACCGCUUUCAGCAGGGACGAAGCUUUUUGUGACGGUACCUGCAGAAGAAGCACCGGCUAACUACGUG